GAUGAACGCUGGCGGCGUGCCUAAUACAUGCAAGUCGAGCGAACAGACGAGGAGCUUGCUCCUCUGACGUUAGCGGCGGACGGGUGAGUAACACGUGGAUAACCUACCUAUAAGACUGGGAUAACUUCGGGAAACCGGAGCUAAUACCAGAUAACAUGUUGAACCGCAUGGUUCAACAGUGAAAGACGGUCUUGCUGUCACUUAUAGAUGGAUCCGCGCCGCAUUAGCUAGUUGGUAAGGUAACGGCUUACCAAGGCAACGAUGCGUAGCCGACCUGAGAGGGUGAUCGGCCACACUGGAACUGAGACACGGUCCAGACUCCUACGGGAGGCAGCAGUAGGGAAUCUUCCGCAAUGGGCGAAAUCCUGACGGAGCAACGCCGCGUGAGUGAAGAAGGUCUUCGGAUCGUAAAACUCUGUUAUUAGGGAAGAACAAGUGUGUAAGUAACUAUGCACGUCUUGACGGUACCUAAUCAGAAAGCCACGGCUAACUACGUG
rnacentral:rRNA from 1 species